rnacentral:scaRNA from 1 species
UCACUUACCUGGAUGGGGUCAAUGGGCGAUCAAAAAGGUCCAUGGCCUAGGCUGGUGACCUCCAUUGCACUCAGUGUAGGUCCCUCGGAGGAUGAGGUCAAACCUUAACCUUGUUAUGUGAAAC